GGUUGGAUGGCCGAGCGGUCUAAAGUGCCAGACUAAGGAUCAGCGUCGUCGCAGACGUUUCUCUUCUCUUCGUAAACAUGUGUUCGCUGGGUAUCUGGUCUUUCGGGGCGUGGGUUCGAAUCCCACUCCAAUCA